CCUACGGUAGGCAGCAGUGGGGAAUAUUGCACAAUGGGGGAAACCCUGAUGCAGCGACGCCGCGUGAGUGAAGAAGUAAUUCGGUAUGUAAAGCUCUAUCAGCAGGGAAGCAAAUGACGGUACCUGAGUAAGUAGCCCCGGCUAACUACGUGCCAGCAGCCGCGGUAAUAAGUCGGGGGCCGGGGUUAUACGGAUUUACUGGGUGUAAAGGGAGCGUAGACGGCAAUGCAAGUCUGGAGUGAAAGGCGGGGGCUCAACCCCCGGACUGCCCUGGAAACUGUACGGCUGGAGUGCAGGAGAGGUAAGCGGAAUUCCUAGUGUAGCGGUGAAAUGCGUAGAUAUUAGGAAGAACACCAGUGGCGAAGGCGGCUUACUGGACUGUAACUGACGUUGAGGCUCGAAAGCGUGGGGAGCAAACAGGAUUAGAUACCCGUGUAGUC
rnacentral:rRNA from 1 species